GCGGACGUGGCGAAACUGGUAGACGCAAGAGACUUAAAAUCUCUCGGCCUUUGGUCAUGCGGGUUCGAUCCCCGCCGUCCGCACCA
rnacentral:tRNA from 4 species